rnacentral:rRNA from 1 species
GACGAACGCUGGCGGCGUGCUUAACACAUGCAAGUCGAACGGAAAGGUCCUGUCUUUGUGGGGUGCUGGAGUGGCGAACGGGUGAGUAACACGUGAGUAAGCUGUCAUUGCCUUUGGGAGAACUUCAGGAAGCUGGGGGUAUUACCGGAUAGGAGCUCUUGCUGCUUGGUGGGGGUUGGUAAGUUUCGGCUGUUGGGGAUGGACUCGCGGCUUAUCAGCUUGAUGGGGUGGUAGUGGCUUACCAAGGCUAUGAAGGGUGGCAGGCCUGAUAGGGUAACCUGCCACAUUGGAACUGGAAUGCGACCCAGACUCCAACGGUAGGCAGCAGUGGAGAAUGUUACACUAGGGACGGAACCCUAAUGCAGCAACGCCGCGUGCGGUAUGACGUCCUUCGCGUUGUAUUCCACUGUCCCCUGUGACGAAACGUGAAUGACGGUAAUGGGUAAAUAAGCACCGGCUAACUACGUG